rnacentral:rRNA from 1 species
GUCGAGCGGAAACGAGUUAACAGAACCUUCGGGGGACGUUAACGGCGUCGAGCGGCGGACGGGUGAGUAAUGCCUGGGAAUAUGCCUUGAUGUGGGGGAUAACCAUUGGAAACGAUGGCUAAUACCGCAUAAUCUCUACGGAGCAAAGAGGGGGACCUUCGGGCCUCUCGCGUCAAGAUUAGCCCAGGUGGGAUUAGCUAGUUGGUGAGGUAAUGGCUCACCAAGGCGACGAUCCCUAGCUGGUCUGAGAGGAUGAUCAGCCACACUGGAACUGAGACACGGUCCAGACUCCUACGGGAGGCAGCAGUGGGGAAUAUUGCACAAUGGGCGCAAGCCUGAUGCAGCCAUGCCGCGUGUGUGAAGAAGGCCUUCGGGUUGUAAAGCACUUUCAGUAGGGAGGAAGGUGAUGUCGUUAAUAGCGGCAUGAUUUGACGUUACCUACAGAAGAAGCACCGGCUAACUCCGUGCCAGCAGCCGCGGUAAUACGGAGGGUGCGAGCGUUAAUCGGAAUUACUGGGCGUAAAGCGCAUGCAGGUGGUGAGUUAAGUCAGAUGUGAAAGCCCGGGGCUCAACCUCGGAACUGCAUUUGAAACUGGCUCACUAGAGUACUGUAGAGGGGGGUAGAGUUUCAGGUGUAGCGGUGAAAUGC